AAAAAAGAAGGACCCCAUUGUGCCUGAGGGCUUCGAAAGGGUUGCUGUGCCUGCAAAGGGGGCAUUCAGGGGCCAGAGCACACAAGGCCUCGUUCUAAGGCCUUUACACUCAGAGUGGGAAGCUCUUGAAGGUUUUAAUCAGGGAGUGACAUGGUCUGAUAUCCCUUUCCUGAUGAACUGACCCUGACUUGGGCAGCUGGGGGAAUGGGGUGUUAUUUCCUGACACAGAGAAGACUUGGGAAAAAUAGGGUUGGGGGUGAAAAUAGGGAGUGAAGCCUUCCCCGACAGGUGGUUCUGAUGGGUGGUGACUCUCCCCAUGGGCCUCUCUUCCCCCUCUGCUUACAGGGCCCAUUAUACAAUAUUUUAACUUUGCAAUUCUUAUUUUCUUGUAUGACUCCUUUACUUGACUGACCUCCUUUAGGGCUGAGGCCGCUGUAAGCCAAGGUACGCAACGCUUGCUAAACAGGAAUCCCUGGAAUGAAUCCAUGCAUGAGGCCUUUGUGCCAUGUGACAGUUGAAGGCUGUGGUGACCCCGGAACCGUCCCACUCCGAGACGCCUUAACACCGUUUUUCUGCUGUUACAAACCACAGAGCAACGCGUGUGCCUCCUCCCGCCCUGGGGACUCUUUCUGUGGGAGAGGUGCCUGGAUUUAGAGGAGCGACCACUCUUCAUUUGUAGGAUCUUGGUCACUUUCCCAGUUGUCACUCGGCCCACAAACUAGGAUGUGAGCAGCAUAUUAAGAAUCUGCAGAGAUGUUCCCGUCUGCCCGGCAUAUGGAUGUCCUUCUGGGCUGCAAAGUGGCAUCCUGUGGGCAACUCCCCCCACAACAACCAGCUGUGAGCUGUGCCCAGGCACAGAGGGACCUGGCUUUCCCUGUUUCUGCAGAUGGAGCCCAGGGUUUCAGGGAGGGAGGGGGCAGGCUGGGACCUGUUGGGGAUCUGGGCACUUUCUCAUGCUCCUUGAGCUGCAAGUCAUAGAAGGAGUGGGGUGGGAGCUGGGAAUGUACCUUCCCAAGGCCACUGGCAGAACCAGCAGGCCCUUUGCUCUGGGAUGAGCUCCCUCUGAGGGGUGGGGACAGUAAAGCGGACCGAAGUCCCUGUUCUGCGGGAUGGAAACUGGCUCCCCUCCAUUGUACAGGCCAGCUCUGGGGAUUUGGGCAGCAGAUUUGGGGUUGACAGCAGAAUGACAUGAUCACCAGUUGACCUUGGCCAGGAUGCCAGCUUACUUUCUCGCUUACUUCUGCAGGUUCUUUGUUCUGCGGGUGAGUCACCCAGGUCCUGCCCUCCGUGCCUGUCUGCCCUCUCCCACUUUCCCUGCCCUGAGCUUGUUCCCACUUGUAGAUUUGGCAGGUCACUGCCAAGGCCCCUAUUCCCCCAACAUGGCCAGUGCCCUAAGGGUGGGUUGUACAGGGAGGAGCUGGCGUGGUCAGUAGACUUGAAUCAGGGACAACUCGGCUGCUGAAGGCUGAGGGGGCCUUGCAGGGCUGCAGGUGCCUUGUGCACACAGGGAGUGGGUAGAGAAGGCAACCAGGGGCUCCUUCAGGCCUUAAUGCUCUGCAGCCCAGUGAGGCUGUGCCCAGAGAGUCUGGCGAGGCCCUGGUCUGCUCCCCCAGCCAAUGGCCUGAUGCUGUUCCAUCUGGGCACCCUGUCACUUUUCGUUCAUCAGGGAGUACAGGGUGAUUCAGGGUCUCAAAUGCAGGUGUUCACAAAAUGAAAUAGAACUUCCCUCUAUCCCCGUGCUUCUUUUUAUUUUUAUAACAAAUAUACAUCGUUAUAUUUUAUUUUUAUAUUUAUGUAUUUUAUAUAUAUGUGACAUCUACUACAUGACAGAAAAUAUUUAUGGCCAGGCAAGGUGGCUUACACCUGUAAUGCCAGCACUUUGGGAGGCUGAGGCAGGCGGAUCACCUGAGGUCGAGAGUUGGAGACCAGUGUGACCAACAUGGAGAAACCCCAUCUCUACUAAAAAUACAAAAUCAGCUGGGGGUGGUGGCGCAUGCCUGUAAUCCCAGCUACUCGGGAAGCUGAGGCAGGAGAAUCGCUUGAACCGGGGAGGCGGAGGUUGUGGUGAGCCGAGAUUGCACCAUUGCACUCCAGCCUGGCAACAAGGGAUAAACCCCGUCUCAAAAAAAAAAAAAGAAAAAAAAAAAGAAAAAAAUAUUUAUAAUGUAACUAAUAUAGCUAAAAUAAAAUGUAAUUUCAGUCUCAAGCCUUCAUUCUGUUAAGGGGACAGAAACUUAAUCUUGGUCAUCUUGGGGUCUCCCUCCCUGGGGCUGUGCCUGACUUCCAGGGGGCUCGGCGUUGGCAGGAUUUCUGGUGCUUGAGGUCACCUGUCAGCCUGUCUCUUGUCAUUGGCUAUCCGCCGUGCCAUCUGCUCCUGUGUGUCCUUGGCACUGUUCGCAUGUCUCCAGCUCGCUGGCUUUCUCUGCCACCUUGGAGCCACUCCUGGGUGCACAGGAGUCUUACUGCUCCCACGCUGUGCUGGGGCCUGGGAAGACUGCUGUGGCCUACCUGCCUCCGUGUAGCACACACACCCAUUUCUUCUUCUUCUUCUCCUUCUCCUUCUUCAGACAGAGACUCACUCUGUCACCUAGGCUGGACUGCAGUGGUGCCAAAUUGGCUCACUGCAACCUCCGCCUCCCGGGUU
rnacentral:lncRNA from 10 species